CUCACAGUCCUCCUGACUCAGCCUUCCGAAUGCCUGGAUGAUAGGAUGCACCAUCAUGCCCAGCAGAAAUUUCUUACACCUGGCAUAAACAGCUCUCAAGAUCCCAGUUGGUGGUACAAGAAGGAGACUGACUAGAAACAGCAAGUGCAACUCUCCCCUGCAGAAGUCAUCUCCAGUCCUGGCCUCCAAGAUGCCCAGAUAAAGUCCUGAGACCAGAGCAGCUUGAAGAAGAAAAGCAUUGCCCAACCCAGGAGAAAACAUGGUACCAUGAAGUGAACUGGAAGGAACAAGCAGCAAACAACAUGAGCAGUUCCUCAAGGAUAUCAAAUAUUGACAUUAUUACUUGCCAAAAACAAAUGCUAUGUGCUUAAUGAAAUAAAAUAAUUUGGAGGCCUUAGCAAAGACCAAGAGACUAUAAAGAACAUCUAAGGAGAUCUGAAAUAAAACCAACAAGUACUUCAGGGCAUGAAAAUAAGACAGAGAGGAAUUCGAGCCCUUGAAAGUUAAUCAGAGAGUGAUGGAAAGGCCUGAUACCAGUAUGUCACUCCCCACUUCAGUGUGCAGACCUCAAACUUACCCAGUGUCCCUUCUCUGAAGCCCUUCAGCCGAAAAAUAGAAAUGCCUCUGAUUUAACAGAAAUCUGGAAGAGUUCACAGUCUGGCCCAGAGAAGUUCGUUUUAAAUUGACAGCUUUAAAAUACGGUUGAGAAGGAGCCGAGGUCGGCUGCUGCCUCAGAUCUGUCCGUGGCAGUCAGUGCCUAGGUCUCGGCCUCUGGCUCUGUCCAGCCUGUUCCUGCAGGUCUGCCUCACCCCGUUAUGCGCCCACCACAGAUUCACAACUUGGCAUCAGGGCUCACCUCUUACUGUGCCCACCCAGAGGGUGCCAACUCGCUGACAGGAUGUCUUUGGAGGAGCUCCACGUGAAAGACUGACAGCGAAGGACUCCCAAGCUCUCCUAAAGCCACUCUGCCAUCUGUAGAUGAUAGAGCAGAAGCCCGAGCAGAAGUCCUCCCUUCUCCUCCAUAAACACCUCGGAUAAAUACCUUGGGACCCACCUGUUAGGCGGCUCUCUUACAACGCACACAGUCCCUCUCCUCCUGCACACUCCCUCCUACCAGACCUCACUGCCCACGUGGGCCGACCCCUGCCGCCCUGGAAGAGCUUCUGAGGCUGGGGAAGGUUUCGGUUCAGAAGAGCCCUCUGCACUUUCUCCUAUUCGGAGAGCGGAGACAGGAGACUGGGUUCUCCCUAUGGGGUGUUUACACCAAUCCUACAGUUUUUGUUUGUUUUAAAUCACAGCCACUCCUGCAAGUCCAUUGCGUCUACUUGGAGAAAAGGGGUAACAUUUCCUCCGUGUUACCCCAGUAACCCAAGCCGAUCUCAACAUUUCAAGAGGGACAGUGAUUCAGUGUCUGGCCCCCACCUCCCUCAUCUGCUGGUCCAGGGGGAACACAGUGGCUGCUCAAUACAGUACCGACCUGAUGGUCAGGUCUCCGGAGGUCUGGAAUAUCAGUGAGAGGCCCCCCUUCUCCUAAAUCACCUGCCUGUGCCUCCCCCGGCCCGGUGCCCCCAAUCCUCACCUUUGUCAUUGUCACCACCCCAUUCCAGUUUCUCUGUGGCCACUAGAGCAGUGGGGCCAGGAGAGUGCGACAGGCGUUCAGAAGGGUUAUGGGCCGUGGACAGGGACUGGGCAGCCACGUCGCGUCCCUCCCAAUUCUUGGGCUCCCGCGGGGUCCCUGUCUAGC